GAUCCUAAUAAUCUGCUACUACAAGAAAUCAGGGAUUCCAACACUUUCCCUUAAAUUCUCAUGUAUAUCAAAUAUGCCCAACUUGCAAAAUAGAGUAUGAAACAAAUUACUGCUUAAACCCUUAGUAAACACAUUGGCCAACUGUUCUUUUGAAGAUACAUGAGAGACACUCAAAAUUCCAUCUACUAUUUUCUCCUUUAUGAAGUGUUGAUCGAUCUUUAUAUACUUGGUUCGAUCAUGUUAGAUUGGAUUGUGUACUAUGUUGAUGGCAGCCUUGUUAUCACACAGUAAGGAUAAAUUGUUGAUCUCUGAUAGUUUCAUCUCUUCCAUCAAUUUCUUUAACCAUACUAGCUCACAA
rnacentral:misc_RNA from 1 species